AUAAAAGCGGUAUCCAAGUACCCCAAAAUUGUAAUGUCAUGGCAAAGAGAAACUAUUUGCAAUUUGAUCAAGGAAGCCAUUAUGGAAGCUGAUAAGAAAGGUGUAAAGGUUUUGACUCUAGGACUUUUAAAUCAGAAGUAGAUUUCGAGAAGAGUGACGAGUGCAUGGAGAAUAGUUGGAAUUUUAUACGCACUGGAAGGCUGGAGCCAGAAUGAGUAUUAGGACAUGAUGUUUGAUAUUGAGAACGUGUAAAAGUCAGUCUUGAUCAUGGUUUUCGCUCAUUAACUUUGUCUUCUGUCACUGCAUUAAUUGCUUAAA